CACACAAACUCACGCCUCCUCCCACCCGCGGUGCAGACGCGGCUCUGCCGCAGAACCCGACCGAUGGCCAGCGAGGGUGUUUCCUAACACGGAAGCACCAGGUGCAGCUCGGGAACCUGGGAGGCUCUCUUGCCAUUUCCAGGCUCGCACAAGUUUUCAUUUCUGCCGAUUAUGGUUCGUGAAGCAGGAUGAGGCCUAAUCAACGUGGUCCCCGCCUGACUCUGGCUUAACAGUCCGGGUGUCGGUGGCCAACAGACCCCUCGCGGUCUGGAAAGCCAGCCGUGUGAGUCAGGGAGAAACAGAACCAACUGGAGCCAGCCUCAGAGGAACAGCCAGAAAAGUGUUUGACCGGCUCUCUGAGACCACACUCCAGGCGACCUGACACAUCAGAUUAACCAUCUCACCAUCAGAAAUUCAUCCUCGAGUGGAAAAAUCUCCUCUUAAUACACUCACCACACAGCAGCUGUUGUGGCGAACACCGGUCUCGCAGGCAUCUCUCCUGCUCGGCGGACAGACAAGCCCCUUUCAAGGUCUUGGGAAAUUCUUCACCCCUCUCCUGUCUGCUCUCUGACUGGUGGAACUCCUGUCUUUUUCUUUCUUUCUUGGUUUGCUUCCUCAGUUUUGGUGCUUUGCUGAGACGUAUUUUGAAAAUAUUGUCUUUCCAUCUGUGGCUUGUCUUUUUAUUCUUUAUAAGAGCAGAACUUGUACAUUUUCAUGAAGAUUAAUUCAUCAUUUUUUGUGUUUAUGGAUCAUACUUAUGUUGUAUCUGAGAAAUCUUAGUCCAACA